GACGAACCGUGCGAACGUUGUUCGGAAUCACUGGGCUUAAAGGGCGCGUAGGCGGGCUCGCAAGUCAGGGGUGAAAGCCCACGGCUCAACCGUGGAAGUGCCUUUGAUACUGCGGGCCUGGAGGGAGGUAGGGCGUGCGGAACUUCCGGUGGAGCGGUGAAUGCGUAGAUAUCGGAAGGAACACCGGUGGCGAAAGCGGCGCGCUGGACCUCUUCUGACGCUGAGGCGCGAAGCCAGGGAGCAAGCGGG
rnacentral:rRNA from 1 species